GGAAGGAUGGCCGAGAUGGCUUAAGGCGUCGGUUUGCUAAACCGUUAUACGAUAUUAGAAUUGUAUCGAGGGUUCGAAUCCCUCUCCUUCCG
rnacentral:tRNA from 1 species